GCCAGAUUAUGUGUCUCCUCUGGGGAACAAACUGCUCUAGUGAGUUAUUUUAUUGUACUUUUUUGACUAACUAAUUAGAUAAGUUUAGGCUUAAACAUUAUGAAAGAACCGCGGUAAAGUUAGUUUGACGUUCGACAUUCGUUGUAGCCUACAUUCGGUUUCUUAAGGGACUAUCUGAAAACUCCACUCACUACGCCAUAACAUAGGAGAUGUCCACUCAUACAUUCAAUUGACGUGUAAAUUAUGCAUGAAAAAAACAAAAAAGACGUAAAAUAAAUGUUCACAUUCAGAAUGUUCUAACAACUUCCCAGAGGAUAGACAGACAUACUACAGUCUGUAGUAACUUUCUAGAGGAUAGAUGAACUAACUACAGGAAAUUUUCAGAGGAUAUACAGACUUACAACAGGCUUUACUGGAGAGAUGGCAUAAUAAAGUCUGAUCGCUGACGGCAAGAGAGAUCUCCACUAUCACUUAGAGCACGGUGCUCAUAAAAUCGCUGUUGUGGAGAGGAUGCUUUAACAUCUGUCUUCAGUAAAUUUAUAUAUCAAAUCUAGUAUAGCUGUCCUUUCUGAUAAUUUCCUUUACAUAUUUUUAGUCAUCUGCUCUGAUGUACAGUUGCGUCCUGUGCCUCAAUGAUAGUCAGACUCAGG